CCUAGAAGAGGAAGAAAGAAGCAUGAGACCAUCUUGUUCUACGGUGUGAACAGGGGCUCCCAAGCUCCUACGCCACCAAGGUCAAUGAUGCUCACUGAGGCUCCCAUGGCCAGGGCUCCCAGAGUCACAGCUCUACUCACCCCACCAAACCCUGCCAUUGUGGCUAUGGGUUCACCUCAGAAGGGAAGAGGGGAAGCUAAGAAGCCUGAGGCUGACUAAUAACCAUGGAUAGGGCCUCACUGACCUAGGAUAACCGUUCUGUCUUCUAAGAGGGGGAUUCCAAACACCAGCCUUCAUCCUUCUGUGGCAAGAGCUUUCUUUCUCUGCUCUCCCAGCUGUCUGGGUAUGGUACUCUCAGCUUGAGAUGCACAUGCCAGUAAAUGUUCUUUCUUUUUUUUUUUUAAGUUUUAUUUAUUUAAUGUAUAUCUGUAUGUACACCGGCAUACCAGACAGGGGGCAUCAGAUUUCAUUCUGAUAUGGUUGUAAGCCAUCAUGUAGUUGCUGGGAAUUGAACUCAGGACCUCUGGAAGGGCAGCCAGUGCUCUUAACCACUGAGCUAUCACCAAAUGUCUGUUCUUUACAUGACCUGUCUCAGGAAUCCUCUUACAGCUGCACCAAAUAAACUAAACUAAAACAGUGAUGUGCCCCAAGACACGCAGGCACGAAUGGCUGGAUCUCUAAGGGUCUCUAAGCUGACCCAGCUCCCAGCUUUUCUGUCUAAUGUCGCCACAGGAAACCCCACUUCGGCCAUUCUCUACAGAAUUAGUCCUGACUCCUUCCAGGAUCUACACAGUCGCUGUCAUUUUCCCUUCCUAGCAAUCACCUCUCCAGACACCUCCCUCGAGGUUACAGUCCUACCUGGUUUACAUCAUCCUGAAGAUCAGGCAUCAGCCAGCGACAGCCCAUGAGUCAGACUGUGGCCUGCUUUGGACAAUCCAGGAGCUAGUAUUAGCUUUUAUAUUUGGAAAGGGGCUACAAAAAGAAAGGAGAAAGAAAAAAAAGAACGGAAAGGAAAGCUAUGGUUCUCUGGAGAUGUAUCUCAGUUGGUAGACCAUUUGCUUGCCUAAAACACAAGAAGCUCCGGGUUCUAUUCCCAGCAGCACAUGAACUGGGCAUUGUUUCCCGAGCCCCCUGGAAUCCAAGAACUAAGGAGGUAGAGGUGGGAGGAGAAGAAACUCAAGGUCAUCCUCGUGACAUAUUUAGUUCAAGGUCAACUGAGAUCCUGCCAGUCAAUCAAUCAAUCAACAGUAAAACUGCGACAAGGAGAUCCUGCCAAUCAAUCAUCAGCAGAGAGAUGGAACACCGCCCACAAAGUACUCUCUGUCACUCACUGCACAUAGAUGAGGGCCUGGAGUGAGAGUCUAAGUCACUUAAGGAUCCAUACAGAUCUGGGAGAGCCUCGCCAAUAUUCACGUGCAACGUGAGGCUCCCCAUUAGAUAUCUCAUGUCAAGGAGUGUGUGGAGGCAGAGCAACUAAGGUGGGAUUGGGACCAGCAGCUGUUCUGAGCACAUACCCCACAUGACUCCAGCAUAGCUAUCAUCCUGAGCCCAGUGCCACACUGGGUCCAGGGCAGAGCCGCUGCCGGUGCAGGUUGGGGCACUAACAAAGACAGCUUGAUUCCUUAUGCUCUCUGGAAACAGCAGGCAGCCAGGGCAUCAGCAGCCACAGUGGAGAACCCAGGCAGCGGGACCCGGCAGCCUGCAUCCAGGAAUUGUGGUGGAGGGAGACCAGGCAGAGGACUGAGCACUGAAAUCCCAGAAUGCUGUACAAGGCAGAGCUGCCCGCAGCCAAAUGCAGGCCAAGGGCUCCAAGCAGGCUGCUCUUGACUGACAAGAGCCAUCUCUGGGAUCCAGACUUGGGGUGAUAGGAUCAUCGAGAGUCCCGCAAGAGCAAA